rnacentral:rRNA from 1 species
AGAUCCUGAAACCGUGUGCCUACAAGUAGUCAAAGCCCGUUAAUGGGUAAUGGCGUGCCUUUUGUAGAAUGAACCGGCGAGUUACGAUUUCAUGCGAGGUUAAGUUGAUGAGACGGAGCCGCAGCGAAAGCGAGUCUGAAUAGGGCGAAUGAGUAUGAGGUCGUAGACCCGAAACCAGGUGAUCUACCCAUGUCCAGGGUGAAGUUCAGGUAACACUGAAUGGAGGCCCGAACCCACGCACGUUGAAAAGUGCGGGGAUGAGGUGUGGGUAGCGGAGAAAUUCCAAUCGAACCUGGAGAUAGCUGGUUCUCUCCGAAAUAGCUUUAGGGCUAGCCUCAAGAUGAGAGUAUUGGAGGUAGAGCACUGAUUGGACUAGGGGCCCCCAACGGGUUACCGAAUUCAGUCAAACUCCGAAUGCCAAAUACUUAUUCUUGGGAGUCAGACUGCGAGUGAUAAGAUCCGUAGUCGAAAGGGAAACAGCCCAGACCACCAGCUAAGGUCCCAAAGUAUACGUUAAGUGGAAAAGGAUGUGGAGUUGCUUAGACAACCAGGAUGUUGGCUUAGAAGCAGCCACCAUUUAAAGAGUGCGUAAUAGCUCACUGGUCGAGUGACUCCGCGCCGAAAAUGUACCGGGGCUAAACGUAUCACCGAAGCUGUGGAUUGACACCGUAUGGUGUCGAUGGUAGGAGAGCGUUCUAAGGGCGUUGAAGUCAGACCGGAAGGACUGGUGGAGCGCUUAGAAGUGAGAAUGCCGGUAUGAGUAGCGAAAGAAGGGUGAGAAUCCCUUCCACCGAAUGCCUAAGGUUUCCUGAGGAAGGCUCGUCCGCUCAGGGUUAGUCGGGACCUAAGCCGAGGCCGAAAGGCGUAGGCGAUGGACAACAGGUUGAUAUUCCUGUACCACCUAUACAUCGUUUGAACGAUGGGGGGACGCAGAAGGAUAGGGUAAGCGCGCUGUUGGAUAUGCGCGUCCAAGCAGUUAGGCCGGAAACGAGGCAAAUCCCGUUUCCAUUAAGGCGGAGCUGUGAUGGCGAGGGAAAUAUAGUACCGAAGUUCCUGAUUCCACGCUGCCAAGAAAAGCCUCUAGUGAGAUGUAAGGUGCCCGUACCGCAAACCGACACAGGUAGGCGAGGAGAGAAUCCUAAGGUGUGCGAGAGAACUCUCGUUAAGGAACUCGGCAAAAUGACCCCGUAACUUCGGGAGAAGGGGUGCUUUUUAGGGUGAAUAGCCCAGAAAAGCCGCAGUGAAUAGGCCCAGGCGACUGUUUAGCAAAAACACAGGUCUCUGCGAAGCCGCAAGGCGAAGUAUAGGGGCUGACACCUGCCCGGUGCUGGAAGGUUAAGGGGAGAGGUUAGCGCAAGCGAAGCUUUGAACCGAAGCCCCAGUAAACGGCGGCCGUAACUAUAACGGUCCUAAGGUAGCGAAAUUCCUUGUCGGGUAAGUUCCGACCCGCACGAAAGGUGUAACGAUCUGGGCACUGUCUCAACGAGAGACUCGGUGAAAUUAUAGUACCUGUGAAGAUGCAGGUUACCCGCGACAGGACGGAAAGACCCCGUGGAGCUUUACUGCAGCCUGAUAUUGAAUUUUGGUACAGCUUGUACAGGAUAGGUAGGAGCCUGAGAAGCCGGAGCGCCAGCUUCGGUGGAGGCGUUGGUGGGAUACUACCCUGGCUGUAUUGAAAUUCUAACCCGCGCCCCUUAUCGGGGUGGGAGACAGUGUCAGGUGGGCAGUUUGACUGGGGCGGUCGCCUCCUAAAGAGUAACGGAGGCGCCCAAAGGUUCCCUCAGAAUGGUUGGAAAUCAUUCGUAGAGUGUAAAGGCACAAGGGAGCUUGACUGCGAGACCUACAAGUCGAGCAGGGACGAAAGUCGGGCUUAGUGAUCCGGUGGUUCCGCAUGGAAGGGCCAUCGCUCAACGGAUAAAAGCUACCCCGGGGAUAACAGGCUUAUCUCCCCCAAGAGUCCACAUCGACGGGGAGGUUUGGCACCUCGAUGUCGGCUCAUCGCAUCCUGGGGCUGUAGUCGGUCCCAAGGGUUGGGCUGUUCGCCCAUUAAAGCGGUACGCGAGCUGGGUUCAGAACGUCGUGAGACAGUUCGGUCCCUAUCCGUCGCGGGCGCAGGAAAUUUGAGAGGAGCUGUCCUUAGUACGAGAGGACCGGGAUGGACGCACCGCUGGUGUACCAGUUGUCUUGCCAAAGGCAUAGCUGGGUAGCUACGUGCGGACGGGAUAAGUGCUGAAAGCAUCUAAGCAUGAAGCCCCCCUCAAGAUGAGAUUUCCCAUGGCGCAAGCUAGUAAGAUCCCUGAAAGAUGAUCAGGUUGAUAGGU